AGAGUUUGAUCCUGGCUCAGGAUGAACGCUGGCGGCGUGCUUAAUACAUGCAAGUCGAACGAGAAACUUUUGUCUUCGGAUGGAGGUUUCUAGUGGCGAACGGGUGAGUAACGCGUUGGUGACCUGCCCCGAAGUGGGGGAUAACAGUUCGAAAGGACUGCUAAUACCUCAUAAUAUCAAUUGGGUUAGAUACCUUUUGAUCAAAGGCGAAAGCCGCUUUGGGAGGGGCCUGCGUCCCAUCAGCUAGUUGGUAGGGUAAUGGCCUACCAAGGCUAAGACGGGUAGGGGACCUAAGAGGGUGACCCCCCACACUGGCACUGAAACACGGGCCAGACACCUACGGGUGGCAGCAGUAGGGAAUUUUGGACAAUGGGCGAAAGCCUGAUCCAGCAACGCCGCGUGCGCGAUGACGGCCUUCGGGUUGUAAAGCGCUUUUAGAGGAGAUGAGAAAGGACAGUAUCCUCUGAAUAAGCCUCGGCGAACUACGUGCCAGCAGCCGCGGUAAAACGUAGGAGGCUAGCGUUAUCCGGAUUUAUUGGGCGUAAAGCGUGUGCAGGCGGUUUAGUAAGUUGGAUGUGAAAGCUCCCGGCUUAACUGGGAGAGGUCGUUCAAAACUGCUAAACUUGAGAUUGGGAGAGGGAGGUGGAAUUCCGGGUGUAGUGGUGAAAUGCGUAGAUAUCCGGAGGAACACCAGUGGCGAAAGCGGCCUCUAGACCAGUUCUGACGCUUAAACACGAAAGCUAGGGUAGCAAACGGGAUUAGAGACCCCGGUAGUCCUAGCUGUAAACGAUGUAGACUUGGCGUUGGCGGAGUUAAAUCUGCCAGUGCCGAAGCUAACGCGUGAAGUCUACCGCCUGGGGACUACGAUCGCAAGAUUAAAACUCAAAGGAAUUGACGG
rnacentral:rRNA from 1 species